rnacentral:rRNA from 1 species
GUGGGGAAUUUUGGACAAUGGGCGCAAGCCUGAUCCAGCAAUGCCGCGUGCAGGAAGAAGGCCUUCGGGUUGUAAACUGCUUUUGUACGGAACGAAACGGUCCGGGUUAAUACCCUGGGCUAAUGACGGUACCGUAAGAAUAAGCACCGGCUAACUACGUGCCAGCAGCCGCGGUAAUACGUAGGGUGCAAGCGUUAAUCGGAAUUACUGGGCGUAAAGCGUGCGCAGGCGGCUUUGUAAGACAGGCGUGAAAUCCCCGGGCUCAACCUGGGAAUUGCGCUUGUGACUGCAAGGCUGGAGUGCGGCAGAGGGGGAUGGAAUUCCGCGUGUAGCAGUGAAAUGCGUAGAUAUGCGGAGGAACACCGAUGGCGAAGGCAAUCCCCUGGGCCUGCACUGACGCUCAUGCACGAAAGCGUGGGGAGCAAACAGGAUUAGAAACCCGGGUAGUCC